rnacentral:rRNA from 1 species
UACGUAGGGGGCAAGCGUUGUCCGGAAUCAUUGGGCGUAAAGAGCGUGUAGGCGGCCCGGUAAGUCCGCUGUGAAAGUCCAGGGCUCAACCCUGGGAUGCCGGUGGAUACUGUCGGGCUCGAGUCCGGAAGAGGAGUGUGGAAUUCCUGGUGUAGCGGUGAAAUGCGCAGAUAUCAGGAGGAACACCAGUGGCGAAGGCGGCUUUCUGGUCCGAUUCUGACGCUGAGGCGCGAAAGCGUGGGGAGCGAUCCGG